UGGGAAACUGCUCCAAUGUUUCUUCGAAGAAAUUUCAAGUCAAAUUCCUUGAUGUUAUGGUUGUCAAUGAGUAUCUCACCUGGAGUUUUGUGCAUUUGAUUAGCCUCAUAAGAGAUUCAAGCCAAUUAUAGGUGGCUCCAAUCACCAGAAUCAUUGGAACAACUAACAGGGUAACUAAUGCCACUUCCCAAGAGCAUAUAGCUGCAAUCAAUAUUCCAGAGAAAAAUGCUGCAAAGCUCGACAAGAAAUGGCCCAACUACCAAUGACAAACUAGUAUCGAAAGCCCCAAUCUCCUGGCUAAGGACAGCUUCCAUGAAGGCUAAUCUUAACCGUGCUAAUUGUCUUUCGCUUGCAUACAUCCAGCACCCAAUCUCUGCAAUUUCCAAAUUUCUUUGCAGGUGCAGCAGGUUUGCAAGGUGUUGCUGUGUAGGAUUUUAGGGACAGUUGGAAAUUGGAAUCAUUAAUGAUGAACAUUCUUAAUUUUGUUUCCUGAAGGACAAAUGAAAAAUCUGAACAAAAGUGCGGCAUGUUUGUUUCAAUCUAGUACCAGUAGUAGGUUCUGGCAUUUGUUCAUAUAAUCUCACUAAAGAGAAAGUAAUUUUGUUUCCUCAGUA